UAUUGUGAGCCAUAGUUGGAUGCUAUUCUCAUUUUUGGAUGUCAUAUUUACUGGUUUCCAUUAGAGGUCAUACUCAUGGGGUUGAGUUUUAUAUUUCAGGUGAAACAGUACAUGAUUACGCCUACCCCAGCACAUUCAGAGAGGAAGACCAUCACCCAUGUUGGAAGGGAGGCAGAAUUAAUGCCUCUAUGAAGUUUGAUAGGGAUUUGAGCUAUAGCCCUACACAGUCUAAGUUAGACUUAGAAUUCGUGAUGAUAAUGUCCUUGUCUGCACAAGAGGCAGCCACAUUCUGCUCAAGCAUUUUCUGAAGUGAAAGCCAUCCUAGAGGAAGUUGAAGAAGCAACAGAGGAAGGCUUCACUAUACUAUGUCUUAUUAUUGUCUAGAUAUUGAGCAACAUAUCUAUACAUAUCCCAUCAUCAUACACUGUGCUAAGAGAAACCGAGAUAUUGGCCUAAGGUCUGACUAGAGGAGAGGAUAACGGAAUCAUACAUGAUUACAAGUGAAAUCAGACAUUUGAAGUGUUCAAGAAGCUGUUCAGCCGCCAUUGCUGUCUUUUUGGCUAAAAUCUCGUUUGUUGGUUCCAUAAAAACGAUGUUUAGAAUGAUCAAAAGGAAGAAGAAAGUCUUCCAGCUGAGGGAAAAGAAAGUAUACUUUGUGGGAUGUUAAGUCAGAAGUUCAAAAGGGUGGCUCCAUAAAAAUGGAACUAAAAAUUAUUAUUUAUUGAUAUUGAUCAUGUUUCAAAUUAUCUUUUACAUAGCUUCUGAUUCGGUUUAUUUCAUUUUAUAAAUUCAAA